GUGUUGCUGUGGUUGUCGAUUAAAACAAGGGGUGUAUGCUGAUGAUUCUCUAUUAUUUCAGCAACACUUGUGAAGCGCUGGAUUGAGAAAACAGAAAUCAGUUAGCCAAGUAAUCGAUGAGACUUCUAACAAAAUGAAAAUCACAAGAAUCACUACCUCAUCUUCUCUUUCUCUGUGCCACCGUCAUCUUUGGAACUACAGGAUCUUCUGAGAUCAUGUGAUCAAAUAGUUGGAUUCUGUCAUCCAGUGGAUACUCCUAGAUGCUAGGAGUGAUGGCUGCUCUUAUACCUCCAAACAUUUCUCACACAGCAGGACUGUGUAUUGAACAAGCUGCCCUCCCCGGUGGCACUUAUAGUCCCUGAAGAAAAGAUUAUGCAUCACUCUAUUUUCAUACUCUGAGUGGAGAGAGAUUCCCUCAGCCCCUUCUUGGUGGUGGUGAGCGCUUCCACUACAUUGCUGCCAUCAAGGACUGUGCUACUCACUGCUUUUUGCUGAGGAUGGUUUCUGGGAAGAGGAAGAAUAUUUCUGGAAAACACACAACAUGAUUUAAAUGGCCCUCUGCUAAGCUGGGACUGCAUCCCCCGCGCAUCAGUGAGUCAACAGACUUCUGCUUCUCCACCAGCCCUGGGAACCAGCCCCUUCCCAGUCUCAACCUCAGCUGAUGAUGUGACCUCUAUCUCCCCGUUCUGGUUCCUGGUCUUCAGGGAGAGGUCAGGAACUAGCACCAGGAGGAAACAGCAUGCUUUAGGGAAGCAAGUUGUAGAAUCAGGAGUGUUCGCCCUGUGGCAGGAUGGGUCAUGAUUUGCUUCACUCUAAAGUCCUGAGGAGACCUUACCAUCCUCUACCCUACCUGAUAGGGCUUCGCCACCAAAGCCCAAGAAGAUAGCCAUUCACCAGGUGACAUCUACCUGGGAAUUAGCUAGUUUUCUAAGGGUUAAUGAAUAAUCUUCACACUCUUUAUGCAAGGAAAAUCUGGGCAUCUCAAACAUAAAAGAAUUAGAGAUUGUCCUGAGCUACAAAGUUUGGAUCUGAACUUUCUUCAAAUUUAGGCAAAUUUAGGGGUGUUCAGACCUGGAAUUCUGUAGAGGGUCCACCUCAAGUAGCAUGGAAUAAAGGAAAAUGGAUAAAUAUUAAAUAUAUUUGAAAUGUCAGAAAAUGGAGACCAAAUCUUACAAUAGAGGAGAGUGAAUUUAUAUAGGUUGUAUGGUCUCUGGGGGCAGGAACUAUAGGUGAAAUCCUGAACUUAUUGAAAUCAAUGGGACUUUUGCCAUUGUCUUCAAUGGGGCAAGUUUUCACCCUGUGUUUUUUCUAGUGUUUGGAAAAUGCCUAACACAUUGUGGGUGCUACCAGUGUCGAAAUAAGCGAUGCCAAAAAUAAGUCACUAACCACAAAUUUGACAACACUGAUGAAUAAGUGAAAUCUAAAAGUAUCUGUAAAUCUUCUAAUUAAGAAUAGGCCAGUGUUUUUUCAAAAGUGGCCACUAAUUUUGGUUGCCCCGUUUUCGGGUGCUCAAGAUGAGACACCAUAACCCUAAAUUUGCUAAUCCUCUACAGCUAUCAUUAACAAUGCUUCUGAAUGUUGGGCCCAGGUAUUUCUAAGCUGGGUACCCAAAAAUCGAGGCACCUAAAUCAGUGGCUGCUUUUGAAAAUUUUCAACCUCGUGAAUAUAGUAGGAUUUUAAUAGUAGAAAUGUAAAUUUGCCUGAAAUUAUCUGAUUCAGAACUAAACUUUCAUUAUGUGUGGUCCUAAUUGAAAGAGUAACUGCUUUAUGACCCCAGGAAAAUAUACUUACAAAAUCAUCAGACCAUUGUUCAUCUUCAUCCUCUGCAUGUUCUAAACCAAACAUUUGAGUUAUUUAAGGGAAUAGAAUAGUGAUCACAAACAUUCAUCUUAACUACUGAUUGAAUGGCUCUGUUGCAUUCCAGGUUCUCUCUCUCUCUCUCUCUCUCUCUCUCUCUCACACACACACACACACACACACACACACACACACACACACACACACACACACACACACACACACACACACACACACACACACACACACACACACACACACACACACACACACACACACUCUUCCUGAAAGUUUGUGCCAGAAACAUUUGGUUUUGGCUGAACAGUGUUGGCAAUUAGAAUUCUGCUUUUGUUGCUUAUUUGGUUUUAGAAAUUAAUUGAGAGUGCUCAUGAAAGAGUUCCAGAUGGAUGCGCUGGACAACGCAGUCCUCUACUUAUCCCCAGUCUGAAUAGUAGCAAUGCAAGCUUCCCCACACUGCCAUGCCCGUGUCUCCCUUUUUUUAAAGGAAAUGAAGAGAGAGGAAGAGCUCGUUCAGCCCUCUUGACAAUUCAGUUCUUGGCCUCUCUGGUAAAGUUCCAAAUUGGAUGCCAAUUAAUUAUGAUAGUUUUAAGGAUGUGGAAGCCUGUCCACUUGGAACUGGCUAUGGAAGUCACUGAACGAUUAUUAGAUUGACAACUUCCAGUCACUCCCCACCUAGUCUGCUGCUGUUUUACUUUAUUUUCUCCUUAACAAAACAAUUCUUAACACUUCAAAACAAAGGUAAAACAAAAUUGCAGGCAGUGAAGGUGUAAAAUAAACAAAUAUAGCUCCACUCACACUUGAAGAUAAUGUUUGAUGCCAUCAUUAUAUUAGCACCAACAUCAGAUUCCAUUAUUGUGGGAAGGAGACCUAUUUGCCCAUAGUUUCUUUCUUUCCUUUCUCUUCACAAGCAUCAUAAGCCCUGAAUUGGACUGGCUCUCCAUCCAGCAUGGCUGGAUAUGGAGCCUUCGCCCUGUUGGGAAUGGCCUAGAGAUGGAUUCCAUAGAGUAGGUGAAAGCUGCUUCGGAGAGUCAGCUAGCAGGGGCACUUGCUAUCAACUACUUCUUACUAUUUGUUCUUCCCAUUGGGGCAGCUCUCCACAGUUUGCUGUCUAUAGUUUUGCACGAUAAGUUGCACUAGAAAGAACUGGACUAUAAGUUAUUGGUAAUGGUUUAGGAUUCACCUCACAUAGAAGAUAAAUGUGAGCAAAUAUGCAGUUGUAACACUCUUAGAAAAAAUAUAUAGUUUAACGUUCCAUUAAGCCAUCCUUACCUGAAGCAUAAUCCCUUUGUGGUACACUUGGUGGAGGUUUAUUUUUUAGCCUGUAAACAAUAAUUAUUACAUUUAUGAUCCAAUAGGUAAUAGUUGCAGGAAGGCAAGCAUUAGCCAGACACACAAAAAAAGCUGAUGACAAAAGAUAUCUGCAACUGAAGACACAGGUCAUUGUUACAGAUAUUCAGCCAACUGCUGCAGGCAAAUACUCUGAAAAGAGAUGUUUCAGAGUAACAGCCGUGUUAGUCUGUAUUCGCAAAAAGAAAAGGAGUACUUGUGGCACCUUAGAGACUAACCAAUUUAUUUGAGCAUGAGCUUUCGUGAGCUACAGCUCACUUCAUCUCUGAAAAGAGAGUACUUUUUGGAAACAGCCAAGAAUAUAGACUGCAAUCUGAGUUUUUUGUUAAGAAUUUUUUUUAAAGAAACACACAUAUAGAGGAGCAGAAGCUAUAGGCAGCAUUAUACAUUAUAGAUAUGUGCAUAUCUGUUUGAAGAAGUAAAGCUGAUUGAGGUUCACAAAAAUCCUAGUAAGAGGUUUAUAUGUGAGAUGAUAAAAGAGUACAGUACUCUCUGGUUCUAAUUUACAACUUUAGAUUUGCAUUCACUUUAAAUUCCAAUUGAGGCUUAAAAGUUUUCUCAGGCUGUCUCUCAGCCAGAUUCUGAUCUCACUUACAAUGAUUUUGUACAUGUAUUGCUCCUGAAGUCAAUGGGGUUACUGAUUUAUGCUGGUAUCAGAUCAGAUCUGGGGUCUCAACCUUUGCAUCUGUCACAUGUAUGAGGCAUGAAUGUUUGGCACAAUAAUGGAAGUACUAACACAGAAAGUCUCACACCAAUUAUUUUUCAUAAGGGAAUACAAUUUGAAUAGCUUUGGUUCUGUAAUAUUGAGUGAACCAAAAGAUUAUUUAGAGAAAGAUUGAAACAUUCUUCAUAGGCUUCUCUUCAUUUUCAACUGUGCUAUGCUAUACCUAGAAUUUAAAAUCAUGCAGGUUCCUGUUUGUUUAAUUGUAAGCCCUGAGAGAGCACCCCCAGGAGCUUAGUGUAGUGAUCUAUUUAUUAUUCCAUUAAUGAUCUGACAUUACCUCAUAAGAAGAGAGACACAUUUCUGUGAAGUUAUUCAAGUCAGAUCCAAUGGUGCAUCUGGGCUAUUACAUGCUUGAGUGGAAGUAUCUGAAGCUAAUAAUGUUUUGCUUUUUGGAUUAAUAUAAAGCAGUAAUACAAUUUGCAUUAAAAUGCCCUUUUAUAAUAAUUCUUAAUAUAUGUAAGCAGAGUCAAAAUGAGCUCUACCCAGACAUCUGGUGGUGAGCUGUGAAAAAGGACUUCAGGGGCUGAUCUCGUUUGCAUGGGCACACCCACCCUGCCUAACAUGAUGGACUGCCUGCCCAAAUGGUCACUUUGGCUGCUGUGGGAUCCCCAGUCUCUUUGUUAUUGGGGUAGGAGUAAUAAAGAGUUGUUAUCCUAGUUAUGUGAAUCAAGGACAGUAGAACUGUACUUGGCAGAUCACUCGGCCAUCGACCCGAGCAGCGGAGCAUGUAAGGUGCCCCCCAUACCUCCCUCCACUUCCACUCAGGCUGGGAGGUAAACUCUGCAGAUGAACUUCUGAACUCUGGGGGCUGCACUGACCAAGGUCAGAAACUGUGUGUGUGGUGACUGCUGGGUUGCUGGACUUAAGACUCUGAGGGGAAAAGGACACUGCCAAACUUACUUGGGGGUGGGUCUUUUGCUCAUGGUUUGUGUUAUGAAUCCUGUUUGUGGUGUUUCCCCAGCAUAAUGGUGCAUUGUUUCCUUCCUUUAUUAAAAGGCUUUUGCUACA